rnacentral:tRNA from 1 species
GCAGUGAUGAUUCAUUGGUAAAAUUCUCGCCUUCCAAGCAGGAGACCUGGGUUUGAUUCCCAGCCAAUAUA